rnacentral:sRNA from 1 species
GCAAAAUGAACGGUGCGCCAAGACUGCAGACAGAACCAAAGCAAGGAGAAGCAUCCUGGCUGAGAUCUACUUUGAAAGACCAGUCUGCUGAGAGACCAGAGGCUUACAGAGACAGUCUCCAAUCUCUGUGAAGGAAACACGACCACGAGAAACCACCGUCUGUCAGAACCUCAGAGACUGUAAUGUUCCUGCUUCUGCCUUUCCUACACGGCGCGCGCCGCCAAGCUUGCUUCCUUGGCUUUAGGGUCUCACUGUGGAGCGCAGUGUGAUUCUUUGUAUCAACCAUGACCCUGAGAGUUGGAGGCAAGCAUCUUUACCUGUUGAGCUAUCUCACUGGCCCCCUAACAAACGUUUUACAGGCUUUGAAGAGGUAGACCGUAAAAUUAGCCCAAAGUUAGGAUACUUGAAUUGCGAUAAACCUUUUGAAGUUCUAGAAGUUAUCAGGCUUGAAAAGUACACAGGUGCCUGGUUUUGAGCCUGUUUCAUUCACAGACACGCAGAAACUAUUCCAGAACAAGGAGACGCUAUCACAGGCACGGGGCUACGAGUCUAAGAAGUACCCCUGUGAAGUACACCUCAAACAGGAAGUACUAUGGAAUAUACCUCAAACACACAGUGGAGUCUGCCUCAGAUGAGAAAUAAUACAGAGUAUUGUUUUUGGUUGGUUUUUUUUUUUUUUCCAAAACAAGUUGUUGUCUUUGGACCUCCGAAGAUAACGAAUGCUUUCCGGCCGUGUUUAAAUGUCAGUAUGAACACACGGGCUCCUAACAUGUUACACAGAGAGAAGUUAUGAAUCAGAACCAUGUGCGAGCACAUGAGGCUGUCUCCACUUCAUUGAACACAUAUCCUGAUGAGGUUGAAAGAAAAAAAAGACUCGAAUCUCUUCAAGCAAGCUCAGUACACGACUAUUUUGAGAAAUCGGUUUAACUAGUACUAAAUUAAGCUCAAAUUCAUAGCUCAAAGCCAGCUCUGUGAAUAAUUGUUGGAACACUCAAUUUAACAACCUGUGUGCAAAAUUAGCCAUACUUGAAAAUUCAAGGAAAAGGCAUAGAAAAGAGAGCACUUAUGAAUAGCACUGUUAGCAGAAACAUUUAUAGCAGGGAAA